UUGAAUUUUAAUGAAGAGUUUGGUUGUAGCUGGCCCAUUCAUUUGGGCAUGUGCACACCUUCCUCUUUCAUCCCACACACACCUGUGAACCUGUGAGACAGAGAUGGGGAAUUUACUUGCUGCUUUUUGGAAUACAAAGGCAAUAGGUUAUCGGACCCCCCCUCUGUCUACUCAAUUAAUAUAAACUCAAUUUAUUUUAAAACGAAUGUAAUGGAUGUAACACAUCUCAUAC
rnacentral:misc_RNA from 1 species